rnacentral:rRNA from 1 species
GACGUAGGGCGCGAGCGUUGUCCGGAUUUAUUGGGCGUAAAGAGUUCGUAGGCGGUUUGUCGCGUCGUUCGUGAAAACUUGGGGCUUAACUCCAAGCGUGCGGGCGAUACGGGCAGACUUGAGUACUACAGGGGAGACUGGAAUUCCUGGUGUAGCGGUGAAAUGCGCAGAUAUCAGGAGGAACACCGGUGGCGAAGGCGGGUCUCUGGGUAGUAACUGACGCUGAGGAACGAAAGCGUGGGUAGCGAACAGG